rnacentral:rRNA from 1 species
UGGGGAAUAUUGGACAAUGGGCGAAAGCCUGAUCCAGCCAUGCCGCGUGUGUGAAGAAGGCCUUUUGGUUGUAAAGCACUUUAAGUGGGGAGGAAAAGCUUAUGGUUAAUACCCAUAAGCCCUGACGUUACCCACAGAAUAAGCACCGGCUAACUCUGUGCCAGCAGCCGCGGUAAUACAGAGGGUGCAAGUGUUAAUCGGAAUUACUGGGCGUAAAGCGCGCGUAGGUGGUUAUUUAAGUCAGAUGUGAAAGCCCCGGGCUUAACCUGGGAACUGCAUCUGAUACUGGAUAACUAGAGUAGGUGAGAGGGGAGUAGAAUUCCAGGUGUAGCGGUGAAAUGCGUAGAGAUCUGGAGGAAUACCGAUGGCGAAGGCAGCUCCCUGGCAUCAUACUGACACUGAGGUGCGAAAGCGUGGGUAGCAAACAGGAUUAGAUACCCUGGUAGUCCACGCCGUAAACGAUGUCUACCAGUCGUUGGGUCUUUUAAAGACUUAGUGACGCAGUUAACGCAAUAAGUAGACCGCCUGGGAGUACGGCAG